UACGUAGGGUGCGAGCGUUAAUCGGAAUUACUGGGCGUAAAGCGUGCGUAGGCGGUUCGUUAUGUCUGCUGUGAAAGCCCCGGGCUUAACCUGGGAAUGGCAGUGGAAACUGGCGGGCUUGAGUGUGGCAGAGGGGGGUGGAAUUCCGCGUGUAGCAGUGAAAUGCGUAGAGAUGCGGAGGAACACCGAUGGCGAAGGCAGCCCCCUGGGCUGACACUGACGCUGAGGCACGAAAGCCAGGGGAGCAAACGGG
rnacentral:rRNA from 1 species